GUACUUUUUGUCCAUAAUUUUAAUUGUUUUUGGCAUAAUUAACCUUGGCCUCCAUCUACGAUCCAAAAAGUUUUUAUAUUGAUGAAAUCUAUAUCAAAAUUGGACUGAAUCUUUUGGUUACAACACAUUCUGGAUCGUAGGUGGCGGCCAAGGUGUUUCAAAAGCUUUUAGGUCUGAAAAAUGCACAAAAUCAUCAUAUUUUGACAAAAUGUCCAAAAUGGGCUUACUUUUGCGAAUAUCUUGUAGUCUUAUGAAAAGAACUGAUAUAUUUAGCAUUUAUACUUUUGAAAUAGACCCAUUUACGAACCAAAUUGAGACCAUUUUUG
rnacentral:lncRNA from 1 species